UGUGCACGCCACGUAAUGACGUUACGGCUAACUCGAUCAAUCGUCCACUUUAACCUGUACCCCUCCACCAGGACGGAUGUACGAACUCGUCUCUGUCGAGCAUAAACGGGAACAGGUACUCGAUGUUCCUUCCAAAUGUCGCGUGUCUGCGCGGCUUUUGAUGAACUGCCCUACGUGGAUUUAUCGUUAUCCGAUACAGUAAUUAGCGUUCAGAAUGAAUGGUCGAAACGCGUGUCCAUCUGGAUGAUCCUUCAUCCAAAGGCAUCGGUCAAACGAUUAAAUGUAGAUGUGAAACAAAUUCGAGGAUUGAUGCAGUAUUUUGGAAAAUGUUUCAAAGCGAAGGAUGAUCAAAGACCGACCGCUGAAUCUCUAUCGAGUUACAUAUUUUUUCAUGAAAACAUCAAAAUAUAUAAAUUAAUCAAAUGCAGAGGCAAAACGAAUUGGAGGAUUGAUGAGUUAUUUUGUAGAAUGUUUCAAAGCACGAAAAGCGAGGAGUAGGUAACGUUUGAUGUAUUCGUUGCAAAAUGUGACAGGUGCCUUUGUUAAGACUCGUAAGGACCUGCGAAGAGAAGACAAGCCCAUAGAUCCGCUCGAAUGCCCACCGAAGGCGUUUCAUUUACCUGGCUGAACGAGAGUUAACCACGAGUUAAUCGGAAGUUAAAGCUAAGCUCCCCUUUUCCUUGGUGUUGAGUAAACAUUGGCAGGACCCCCGCGGGCCCUGCAGCCUUUUUGCAUGGCUCGACGUGCCCAUCGAAGACUUUCAAACCAACCCCGUUUGCAAUUAGAGAGGACAUUUAUUUUGGAUUCAAGUUCUGAAGCACUCGUAAUUUUCUACAUACUCUGUCCCGAAGUUAAUAACACGUCUACAGAGGAAAGAAGCUACACCCUGUAGGACCCGCGGAGGUGGUUCUUUGUAAUCCCGCUGCACUUUCGGGGCCAUGCUCCCGAAGGGUGCAUAUAUUUCCCACCGCAAACAUUCGCCUUCCACCCCUAUUGGAUCAUCCCUGCCGUGAAGCGACGAAAAAAUUAAGGAGAGUAGUGUGAUCGA